rnacentral:lncRNA from 1 species
CUUAUGACUAAUCUACCACAUCUUUCUAACAUCACAUGCAACCUUCAUUUCAUGAUCACAUGAUGUCAUCAUUGCUUCUCUAUCAUCAUUGUAUUUAUUACUAGCUAUUCCUAUCAUGAUUAUCCCUAUUACUAGCUAUCAUAUCAUGAUUAUACCUAUUAUCUCUAUUUCUUGCUUCAUGUGACAUGUGUAAAGAAGUGAAGAGACAAGUGGCAUCAUGCAUGUAUGUCAAUGAAUAAGUGUCUUCAUAGAUAAAUUCAUCAACCCUAUGUAAACCAACUCCUCCUAAAACUACAUUCACACUAAUUUUACCAUCAUUGUAACUUAUGAUUAAUAAAUUAUAUUUUAAAUUUUCUUUUAAGUAAUUAGUCUAUUUUUUUUUAUGUAGCAUUUUUUAAUUUGAAUUUAUGUUUAGCAAUUUAUACUAAAUUUUUUUCACUAUGUUCAUUCCCUAAAAUUUGUAGACAACAUGUUGUCUUUUGUUCCUUUACUUUCUCAGCUUUCAUAUGUUAGUUGUUUAUGUGUCAUUCACAUGAUGCAAUGAUUUCAUUGUUAUGAAUUCUAUUGGCAUGACUUCUUUAUCAAUUCUAUUGAUUGCAUGUAUUCUUGGAACUUGCUAUAAUGUCCUUCACAAAUUUUUUAUCAUGCAAUCAUUCCUCCUACCUAUACCUAUAUUUUGAAUAGUACUCAUAUGUCCCAAAUAGCACUCAUUUGUCCCAAAUUACAAAUAGUAACUUUCUUUCAAAUAGUAACAUAUAGUACUCCUUUGUCCCAAAUUAGGAAUAGUAACCUAUAUAUUCUCAAAUAAUAACAUUCUUCCUAUAU